rnacentral:rRNA from 1 species
GACGAACGCUGGCGGCGUGCCUAAUACAUGCAAGUAGAACGCUUAAGGAGGAGCUUGCUUCUCUGGAUGAGUUGCGAACGGGUGAGUAACGCGUAGGUAACCUGCCUGGUAGCGGGGGAUAACUAUUGGAAACGAUAGCUAAUACCGCAUAACAGUAGAUAUCGCAUGAUAUCUACUUGAAAGGUGCAAUUGCAUCACUACCAGAUGGACCUGCGUUGUAUUAGCUAGUUGGUGAGGUAACGGCUCACCAAGGCGACGAUACAUAGCCGACCUGAGAGGGUGAUCGGCCACACUGGGACUGAGACACGGCCCAGACGCCUACGGGAGGCAGCAGUAGGGAAUCUUCGGCAAUAGACGGAAGUCUGACCGAGCAACGCCGCGUGAGUGAAGAAGGUUUUCGGAUCGUAAAGCUCUGUUGUAAGAGAAGAACGAGUGUGAGAGUGGAAAGUUCACACUGUGACGGUAUCUUACCAGAAAGGGACGGCUAACUACGUG